CCUGACGUCACCCCUCCAGGCCCUUGUGCCCUGGCAGCCCGCAUUGCGCAUGCGCACCGCUGCUCCUGAUGCCAUCCCCCAGACCACGCCCCCAACGGCCGCCCGGCCCCGCCCCUAACGGUCGUCCCUUUGGCUCUUGCUCCAGAGGCGACGCCCACGGCCGCGGCCCCAGCUUCUCCGCUGUUGAGCCUCACAAUGUCUCAUGGAUUGAUGAGUCCACCCCGAGUCAUCAGCAGCACUUGCCAGGCUGUGGUUGUAAUGCAAGGUGAAGAGUGUUCUCUGCAAGUGGCUCCUUUCAUUUAGAAGAUGGACCGUGAGAGCCAAGGUUUGACCCCUACUGCCACAGCCGGCACAGCUGAGUCAGUGCCAGAGAGGAAGUGAGCUGCACCAGGAAACGUUCCCUGGGACUUGGAGGAAGCAGGGACCAAAUUUCCUUAAGACUCCAAGUUAACUUUGAGUCCCACUGAAACGUCUUACAGCCCUGACAGCAAGCCCACCAAAAUCACAAAUACCACUGCACAUUACUGAGAGGACAUUGGAGGCCAAAGCGACCCAGAGAACCACGUCUUCUCCCAGGCAGUGGCCUGAUCAGCAGACUUCUUGAGACCAGACGAUUUUUCUCAGGACAGCGCGGGCCAUCUUCAGCAGACAGGACUCGCUCCUAAAUCCUGUUGGCGAAGCGGAAGUUGUGCUGAGAAGUGUUUUGUCGAGAAGUUCUGCCGAGAAACAAAGCUGGGCUGUGCACCUCUGCAGAGUUCCUACCAAAGUGCAUUGAUAGGUUCAGAGCGGAAAAGUGGCUGCUUGCCAAGACUCUCUCAGUAAAAUAACUGGGAUAUGGAGGAGCAAAAUAAAUAAAUGUACAAGAACUUAGAAGCCAAAAAAAUGCACCGUUCACGGAUGACUCAAGGGGAGAAAACGCACAUGUACAACGGCAGUUUUCAUGACAAUGGAACAGAGUACCAACUAGUUUAGACUUACAGAGGUCUGGAGGGGUUGCAGCUUUUUGUGCAUAGAAAUAAGUAAUCGGUAAGUCUGACAACAAUGCAUUUCAUUUAUAGACUCUCUCAUGGGUGCUGUGGUACCCAACAGUUUCCCAUACUCAGCUUACUACAACUCCUGUACCAAAGAAGGUGGGGGAAGUUAAUGCAGCACAUUAAAAAAAAAUGCCUGCAUUGGUACAACUAUAUUCCCCACUGCCUGAAAAGUCUUUGCUUAGAGAAUAAGGUUGUCUGGGAUCCAGGAGAGAGAGCCAUUCUGGAAGCCCACUGCUUUAAGGGAAUGUGGAAACCACUCUAUAGCCACACACAGUCAUCCAAUUUAGAGCCCUGUGGCUACAUCAUUUAUUGUAGAGGACAGCAGCAUUGUUAGGUCCUGGGGCAGGAAUUGUCUCUUCACGUAUGCCUUGGUAGCACUUAGCACAGCAGUCUCACCUGGGGCUUCUAGGCAUGACAGCAAUGCAAAUAAAAAUAAUGAGGCCCCAGUCCUGCUGCGCUGAUGCCCAUGGACAUUGUGCUAUUGACUUGGAAAUGGGUCAGCGCCCUGGUGAGAAUUAUAACCAUUUUCUUAUAAGGCAAUUCUGACAACCCAAUAAUAUGCCAAGCAUGGAAAGUGCAGGCUUGCUUGCAUAAUGGAAUAUCACGGCAAGGCAUAUAUACAAUAAUUAUUUAACAAAAAAUAGCAGCACAAAAAUAGGCUGGAUUGUAAAUGAGCUACAUAAAAUUAACAGACCCAGGUCCUAUUGAGAAUGUAUGCUCUGAAUAUUUCUAGCUAUAUUUACAGAAGAACUCUUGUUUCUUGUCCUCCAGGCUUUAAAGUUAUUAAUCCACUCAUUAUGCCAAAUAUAUUUUGUAUAAGAGAUAACAUAAACCUUCCUUCAUUUAAAUGGAUUACUAGAAUUAAAUACUACAUUUCAACAGAAUUUAAAAGGAGCACCAAAGCAAGAUAAUACUUCCACCUAUGUGGCGGGGAAUCAUUUAUUAAAUUCUGCCUAUGAAAUAGCUAUAGAUUCCAGCUUAAAAUGUACAAAUCAUUAGGAGCUGACAGCAGCAGUCUUUAGAAAUGAUCCAACUGGGUUUAAUGUGAAAAUAAUUUGUGUAGCUAGCUAUUACUCUGUACAUCAAGCACUCAGGUUUUAGUUCUGUUGGGUUAUUAAAAACAUCUCUAAACUAAGAUGCCAGAUUUACUGUAAUAAUAUUAACAGCUCUCAUUAUUGUGUCACAGCACUGGACUAUACAACGUAUUUUCAAGGAAGGAGAUAAGCCCCAUAAAAGCAUAUUUGUGGCUUGCAGAGAAAAUAAUUCUCUCCAGGUGGUAGCAUCACUUUCUUCCAAUGAUCCAUAUUAUGAAAAGGUAACAUUUGGAAUAUAACCUGGUUGUCUUGACAAAUGGGAUCCAUUACUGAACGGUGUGAAUUAUGGGUGUGAAUUAAAUACAGAGAGUCCAGAAGGUAGCUGAAAGCCUAUAAGAAACAUGUUUCUAUGGCCAAAUCUGGUUGUCCUAGCUGGUUAAAAAUAGCGGCAGGUUCUUUAGGGCAUGCCUCCCAGAAUCUAUGCAGGCUAUCCCAGCUUCCUUCCCCUUCAUGAACAGGAAGGAUUCAAGUAAAGUAGUGGUGUCACUGGUCUCAUUACACUAUACCCAAUGCAAGGCCUUUGUAUAAAAAUUACCCAUGCUAAUGCUUCUGUCAGCAACAGAGCAGCUGAGUGUUGUCAUAGAUGUCCUCUAAAGAAGGAGAAUUGCUUUAACAGUUCUGGAAUACACUGCUGCACACUCAGGUGUAAGCUUGCCUUUCUGCAGACCAGGGCCGGACAUAGGCAUGGGCAAAAUGGGCAUCUGCCCAGGGCCCAAACAGAAAGGGGGCCCAAAAAUGGUGAAAAUAAUGAUUAUUAUUAUCAUUAUUUCUGGUGAAGGGGGGCCCAAUACUAAAAGUUUUCCCAGGCCUGCUAGGAAUCUAGGUAUAGUGCUGCUGCAGACACCCCCAAAAUGCUCUGUGAAAAAUCUGCUGCUGUUCAGAAGUGCUAAACCGUGGAGCCCGCCCGCCUCUCCCAUGGCUGGGGGCUGAGCUGCCGGCUGGGACCAGGUAAGGAAGGGCAGAAUGUAUCCCAGUGUGUUUUUCAAUUGUUACUGCUCUGGGCGGAAAACUGAGAGCAGACUUUUGCUCUCAGCUUAACUCUGAUGGACCAUUUCUUGCUUGGAUGUUAUUUGUUUUAUAAGCACCUAGAUCUAAAACUCUGCACUCUCCAGUUCGGGUGACUUCCUAUAUUCAUGUAUUGAUUUAUUCCCACCUCUAGCUCAUUUGUUCCAGCUUCUAUAGCAGCUCGUCCUCUUGCCAUAGUAAAUUUUAGAUGUCUUGGAGUAAAAUGUACCUACUCCUUGCCAAGUGCUGAUAGAAAAGUCCUUUGCUAUUCUAUGUCCAAACAUAGCCUCGCUUAUCUAGGAGAGUGGCUUUCAUCCUCUGCUGUCUGAUGGGCUGUGACAAUUUCCUUCGCAUUUCAGGUGAUGAACUGCAGUGCACGUGGUAUCCAGAAAUAGCCUGACUGCCUUCCAGCAAAAUGUUAUUGCCCUGAUAAAACUAAUAAAAAUCCCAAUAGUGGUCUCCCCACUGUAGAUUCUACCUCACACUUAAGGUGAAUGUACAUCCGAGGUUGUAGGAACAGCCAUCUGUUCAACCUACAUCAUGCCAGUAUUGAAGGGUAUUAAAUUACUUGGACAAUCUAAUUUCAGUAAUUUACAGAGCUGGUGGCCAUCAAUAAGAAAUGUGCUGGAGUAAACAUGAAAGAAAGAAGGUCAGCCAUGUGAUAUCCUCCUUCGUAAGGUGUAUGUGCUACAGUGCUCUUUGGUAUCUUGUACCUCUUUUAGCCGGGUGAUAAAUAUUUGAACCAAUCACUUUAUGUUGUUUUUUUCUGUGGAAAGCAAAAUCAAUCUUGAAGAUGGGCUUUGUUCUGGAUCCUACAUCCAAGUUGGCCUGCUUCUUACAUUUCAAACGAAUAAAAAUUUAAAGACUGCA